rnacentral:lncRNA from 10 species
CACGUCCCCGAUCGGGCCGUGUCCGCCGCGGCCCUGCGAGGUCCGAGGGACUCAUUCUGAUGAAGGAAAGAGCGUCCCUGUGCAGCUGCGUGUCCUUCAGUUCUUUGGCUCUGAUUCCGUGUCUGGCUUCAUCUAAGUGGCCUGGUCCAUGGGCAGUGAAGAAAUGUAAAGUGCAAUAGCCCUCUGGAACAAGACAAUUCAUGUGAGAUAAGAAAGAAGAGCCCACAAGACCAAGGAUGUAUUCUCAGUUUACAGACCACUGACCAGAGGCCACUCCAGGGUGUCAGGACUAAGAGAAGUCACAAAACAGCAGAUUUCCCAAGAGCAGCGGAAAAUGAUCCAGUCACAGGACCUAAGUGUGAAACAGGCUACCUCAUCAUGGACCCCAAUAGGUCAGACUUUGACGGGCCGUGACAAUAACCAGGUAAAUCGUCUGAGGCAACAGCAGACCAUGGCUAUGACGCCACUCCAAGCAGGAUGGUCGGGCCCGGAGGACUGAACAUGGCCUCAGCAGUCACCUCGGCAGUUGCCAUGCCAGGAAAGACGCCCCACAGCCCACUGGAGAGACAGAAGAAUCUGUGUGAAUCUUCUUUACCUGGCCUGAGGCAUCAAUUCAGGCACAGCAGAACACUGGCCAGGAAACUGAACGUGACCUGAAUGUCUUCCAGGCUGAGACAGGUCCUGAGUGCAAUCCCAGAGGGCACACGUGGUCCCCUAGAAACAACGAAUUCACAAGGUCAGGUGCCCCAGCCGGGCACGCACGCCUCAGGUUGUGAGGUUAACAGGGAUCCAAGGUGGCUUCCCAUCGUCGGGCCUCUGUCCAGUCUGGAUCAUUGGGUUUAGGCCUUGACUUCAGAGGGCCUGCCUGGGACUGAGUUCCAAACCAUUCUGUUUAUCCAUGACAUGAGUUUGUUAGUCCCACCUUAUCAAGUGUGGACAGUCUCUGGAGGAGUUCUGCACAGAGCCCAGGAGCCAAGGCAGUCCUCUGCCUCUCCUCGUCAGCACCGUGAGGAAGCCGAGGUGUGGGCUCAGCAGACGGUCCAAGUCCACAGCCGCCACAGUCCAUGGAAAGGCAGCAAGAGGACCUCUUGUGUUUGGUUUUUUAGGAGGAGGAGAAAGCUUUUAGGAGCAGGUCUGAAAAAUAAAGAUCAUUAUUAUUUUUUCCCUUUCCCUGAGCCUCCCAGAUGCCAGUUUUGUUUUGUUUUUCUGUUACCUGUGUGUCCCAUGUAGUAAUCAAAACUUAAGAACAAAAUGUCUCCUGUUUUCAUUCAUACGUGCUGUCUGGAAAGGUUGUAUACAAGAGGGACAAAAUAUU